AGAGCUGGAAAGCUGUCUUCCACACUGAGGUUUAGGGAAAUACUUCAGUAAAAACAUGAUGAGGAACAUUUGCAUCUUCUUCCUGCUGCUCGUCCUUCCUGUCUGUGGGCAGCAAUCAAGGCUCAGAAAAACCAGCUUUAUACAGUAUCAUCUAGAAAAGACCUGGAACGAAGCUCAGUCUUUCUGCAGAAAGAACCACACUGAUCUAGUCACUAUCAGAAAUGAAGACGAGAAUCAGCUGAUUGCUAAUGACAAGAGCUGGAUCGGAUUGUACCGAGAGGAUGAGAACAGUCCAUGGAAAUGGUCCAGCAGUGGAGAGAAUGCAACCUACUUCAAAUGGGGACAUAAUGAACCAAAUAACCCACAAACUGAACUCUGUGUUGUGAGGUGGAAUAAUGGUCAAUAGCAGAAUAACGAGUGUCAGGAGAAAUAUAAUUUCCUGUGUUAUGAUGACAAUCUGGUUCUGGUGACGGAGAACAAGACGUGGGAGGAGGCGUUAGACCACUGCAGGUCUCUGGGGGGAAAGGGCUCAAAGAAUCCAGACUCUGUGUCCUGGAAGCCCAGCUACGACUUGGCCACCCUGAUCACUGAAGAUGAUCAUGACUACGCACGAGAGGAAGCACAGCAGGCGACCACUGAUGAGGUGUGGACAGGCCUGCGUUUCCAUGGUGAUGGCUGGUUGUGGGUGGGUGGAGAACCAGUGCAGUACCAGGAUAUUCCAAGCUGCUCGGUUUACGGCUGUGGUGUCCUGGAGAAGAACAGCAACACAUCCUUUGGGCUCAGAGCCUGCAGUCAGAGAAGGAACUUCUUCUGUUACAAGAGGCCUUAAAACGACUGAAAGCCACUGGGCUCAUCUAUCAGCUGCUUCUCCCUGCUGUUAAUAACAACACCAGGAGUUUAGAAACACUGCUGGAAUCUCUGCAGCUCAUCCACAAGUAAACACUCUUCAUUGCUGCUGCUUGACUGCUGCCAUUGUUUUUCUGAUAAAGAAUAAGAGGUAAAUGUUCCUCUGCUUCCACCUUCAGGAGUCUGACAGUAACUGCAGCAUGGUUGUUUAUCUCAGUAAAGCAGCAACAAUGAAGAACCUUUACUUAGUAAAUGCUCCACAUAACUACUCUGCUUCACAUCACUGGAAACACACUCAGAUGUACAAACACAUAUUUGAUAAGAAGUUUGAAGUUAGACAGUAAAACAGAUCAGUGAUGGAUCAGUAGAGUCUGUCCUUCACUGAUUAGAUUUCAUAUUAAAAACAUUGAGUAAGUCUCGUUAUCAGUUAGUUUAUGAUGUAGUUAUACAGAUUAUCAGCAGCUGUUUGGGAACAUGAAGCUAUCAACACUUCUAUAACAGCAUUUAAUACUUAUAUUUAAUUGUAUGAUUAUUUACAAAUUUUCCUUGUUUUGUCUGAAAUCUCAGUGAUGUAAAUAUACCAAGAAAUCCACACUAGACGUCCCCAAAAAAGAUGAAAUGCCCUGAAAUAAAUAUAUAUUUUCUUUAUAAAACACAUUAGGAGGUUUUUGCCCGACAGCAGCAAUUUGUUAGAUAUAUGUUAAACAAUAUGUUGGAAGAGGGAAACAUUGAAAAGCUGCUGCCCUCGGCUCUGACUGCUGCCUUCUCCUGCCUUCUUAUUGGUGGGUGGUUGGUCCUCCUUGUGGUGGCCUGCCUGGUUCUGUGCUCCGGGACGGCUGCUGGUGGCCCGGUGCUUGGGGGCUUCUCUAUCUACUUCUCAUCCUAAUAUCUGACACACAUCUGGUCCCACAAGCUGAAGUGUUGUCAAUUGAUACUAUGCAGAAGACGCCUUGUGAUUCAUGAUAGUCAUUAGCAAUAGGGAGUAAUUUAUAAUAUUAGAGAAAAUGUUCUUAGUGGCAAAGACAAAAUCAUUUCCAGACCAGGAUUUAUAGCAAGCCGAAAGGUGGGAAAACCACAUACAGUAGGACUGGCCACACACCAGAUGUCUACUAGCCCCCGAUCAGAUCUGCUGAUGCAGAUUUUUGCUUCAUUUAUGACGGUCCUUUUUUUUCAUGAUUCCAAACAGCAUUAAAUCAGCUCCUGUGGGAUCUAAACGUAGUGAGUGAAUCAUAGAAUUUCUUGGAUUGGGAGCAUACAUACUGAUACCAAUGCAGCUUUCUUAUUGUAUAAUUGCAUCCUGAAUACAAUGAUUCUUCCUGGCAUAUCUUGGGUUUGUUCUAUAAUUUCAAUAUUAAGGUUAUAUGCUUUUUUUUACAGGUAUAGCAGCUGGUAUUUUUCUGUUUUAUUAUACAUUAUUAUUAUUUGCAUGGACUUCGACCUGCAAACUUUGCAGGUCCCAUGUGGUUUCAGUCACAUGGGGUCUAUAUGUGAAACCCCUGUGGGAUGGCUGUAUGAGCACAAUAUGGGAUAUAGGUGGGCUUAGUGGGCAAAAACAGGGAAAAUUUACAUUUUUUCUUUAGAAAUAUGGGUCCCUCAUGGGCUUAAAAUUCAGUCAGAACCAACCCAUAUGGGUAAACACAGGUGAGGCCACAUGGCCAUGCUGGCUGUGUAAGCAGACAUUCAGCUCUAUUUCAUAUGACACAUCUGGGCAUCAACAAACACGUCAGUCACAUGUUCCAAUACUUCUGCUCAGCUAAGAAUUUUGUGUUUUGUUACAAGUAAUUUUUUCUACUUAGUUCAAUGUAAGAAGCUGGAAAUAAAAGCUGAAAUCUG